UUUGUUGUUGUUUUGUUUUUGGAGACAGAGUAGCCCUAUCUGUCGUGGAACCCGAUCUGUACACCAGGGUUGCCUCCAAGUCUCAGGGAGCUGCCUGCCUCGGCCUCCGAAAUGCCGGCACUAGAGGCAUGCACCACCACCAUCGGACAAUUUGCAGAUGAGUGUGACACGCUCCAGGGACAGCACCAGGUGGGCAGUUUGACUGGGUCAGUGCAUUGUUACACUGUAACGGAGGUGUCCUAAGGCCAGCUCAGAGAGGACAGUAACCUCCCAUGAAGCAGAAGAGCAAAUGUUUGUUUGAUCUUGACCUUCAGCACCGAUACAGACCAUGAAAAUGGGGCCUCAUGAUCCUUUUGACCUUUUGGGUUUUAAGCAGGAGGUGCCAGAAAA
rnacentral:ncRNA from 1 species